GGUUUUCAAGGUUUAGUUUUAUUGUGAUAAUGCCGCGUGGUGGCUGAUGCAUAGCAAGAAUGAGAGAAGAUUCCAGAGACAGAGCAAGAGACGGGUAACACCACCAUCGCAUGAUGCUUCACAGUACACGACAGAGAGACCAAGCGGCGAGAGAGAGAGAGAGAGACAGAAAGGAGGGGGUGGAGAGACGACGGGGGCACAGUGAUGGCGGUGUCGUUGAGGGUUUGUGGACUUUUCCGAUCUCUUCAUCUGGUGGUGUGCUUUUUGAUUGAUUAGAUCUUGCCGCUGCUGUUACAUUUCUUCCGGCGAGUUCUCCGGCGAAGGUCUGUAUAUACCGAAACUUUUCUCUUAAUCGAUCUCAUUUUGUUUCGAUUCAUGUGUUUGUUCGGUACAGGUAGACAAUAACUUGGAGAUUUUUCAAUUUGUUGUCGCCUGCUACUCCGGUUUAUUUAAGUUUGUUUGUAGGUACGGUUGGAUUUAGGCAACUGUUUUACAGGUUUUAUGUCACUUUGCUCACUAUAUUUGACUUUAAAAUUCAAUUAUUAUAUUGAUUUGAUUUGCAAUAAAUUUUCUUCAGUUUAAAGUUAUAUGAGCAAAAUAAUUUGAUGUAGGGUUUAGUUUAUAGUUGAGCUUAGGUAUGGAAGACGGAAGCGCAUCAAGACAGAGUUCUUCAACUACCUAUGCCACAAUGAUUGUGAAGAUAGCGAUGAUCAUGGCUUGAAAAAACAUCGAAUUGAGUGAGUGGAAUUUAAGAUGACCUCAUCAGAUGUUGUGUAAGAGUAACGGAUUAAGGAAACAAAGUAGCGGGUGUGACAUCCUCCGGGUUCCGUUGAUGAAUUAGUCACUGUUCUUGACGCAAGCCCUACUUUUGAGUUUUGUUUACGGUUCCUGUUUUAGUACUAAGGAGGCAUGCUAUGAAUAUUUAUCUGAUAGCCCUUUUGAAUGGUGGCACAAGGGUGCUUGCUUCUUAUUCAUGUGGGAUGGAAGAGUGAGCAAUCUUUUCCUCAAAUGGUUCACAGCAUAUAUAUGGAGGUAGCAAGAAUGGCUUUAUAAAUAUAUGGAUCUACAUGGUGGAGGAUCAUUAGUUGCUUUUCAAAAUUACAAGGAGUGGCAUCAGAUUUUCUCGACACUCCGAUCGGGCAAAUACUGGAGAGGCUGCAAGCACUUGGAAUUUCCUGAACCUAGAACCAUCCAUAUUUAGCCGGCUGUUGCUGAAUUUGUUUAUUAGUCUUUGCAGAUGCUCACGAGAUGAUGAUCAUGGAGAGAUGGUUUCAAAGAAAAAGAACCCAUGAAGAGAUUGCGAACUUGGAGAAGAAGCAUUGAGAAGGGCGGGCAAUACUUGAAGUGUAUUUUAGAAGGCGAAUUAUAGUGGUGGUGUUAAAAAAAACACAGGUUUAGGUUGAAAUACUUUGGCGUAAUCUGUUGGGCAUGAAAGCUGGCUAGACUCUAAUUUUUUUUAUGGAUAUUACAUAACAUUUAUGGAUUUUGUAUAGUAAACUCUUGAAACAGAGUGUUAUUUUCAAUUU